CUAAGAUUAAUCAGCGGCCACCAGUCGGACAGAGCUAGAAGUCCAAGCCAUAGCCAGCUACUUCUGGUUAACAUUCACCCUUUACCCACAAGGCACCCAGGACACCAACAUGCUGAGUUCUAGUGAGAAAGGGAAUGAGCCCCUCCUUGGGGAGGUGGAGACAGGCGUGAUAUGGCUGGGCAGAGAGAGGAAUAAAAGGCAGGAGGACACAGGAACUGAGAGCCUUUUGCCUCUGAGGAUUCUUGGAGACAGGACUGCCAUUUCAGCUGGGUAGAGGUUCAAGCAUCCUUUCUCUGUGAUCCUAGACCUCAGAUCUAGCAGAGCCUCAAAUUACAAGGAUGUGAAGACUGGCAUGGCCAUCGUGUGAGAAAGCUCACCCGCACCUAAUCCUCUCACUUUAGUCUGUGAUGUGUGCACUCUGGCUGUUGGUGGAAGGCAUAGCUUGCAGCCCUGGAAGGAGAGUAUCCUAAAUGUUUUGUCCAGGGUGGUGCAAAAGUUUAUGCAUGGCCAUUCCAAAAUUUGAGCUGGAUAGCUGCUCCAGUUGGAGUGACAGAUGAGAUAGAACCAGUGGGUCUGUUUUUAGCUACCCGCUAUUAAAUCUCAUCCAUAAUCAAAGAACUCUUAUUGGCCGGGCAGUGGUGGCGCUCACUUUUAAUCCCAGCACUUCGGAAGCAGAGACAGACCUAUUUGUGAGUUCCAGGCCAGCCUGAUUUACAAAGCAAGUUCCAGGACAGGCUCCAAAGCUACAGAUAACCCUUAUUUCGAGUUGAUACAAGGGCCCAUGUUAGAAACCUCAUUGGAUAAAUCAAGCAUUCUGUAAGCCUUCACAGAAGAACCAGAAGAGACAUCAUAGGCAAUGACGUCUACUAUGGAGAAGAUGUCAAUUUUAGUGUGAAGCAUUGUCCUUCCCUUGAUAGAAGA
rnacentral:lncRNA from 1 species